rnacentral:rRNA from 1 species
CGAGCGAGCUUGCCUAGAUGAUUUUAGUGCUUGCACUAAAUGAAACUAGAUACAAGCGAGCGGCGGACGGGUGAGUAACACGUGGGUAACCUGCCCAAGAGACUGGGAUAACACCUGGAAACAGAUGCUAAUACCGGAUAACAACACUAGACGCAUGUCUAGAGUUUGAAAGAUGGUUCUGCUAUCACUCUUGGAUGGACCUGCGGUGCAUUAGCUAGUUGGUAAGGUAACGGCUUACCAAGGCAAUGAUGCAUAGCCGAGUUGAGAGACUGAUCGGCCACAUUGGGACUGAGACACGGCCCAAACUCCUACGGGAGGCAGCAGUAGGGAAUCUUCCACAAUGGACGAAAGUCUGAUGGAGCAACGCCGCGUGAGUGAAGAAGGGUUUCGGCUCGUAAAGCUCUGUUGGUAGUGAAGAAAGAUAGAGGUAAUAACUGGCCUUUAUUUGACGGUAAUUACUUAGAAAGUCACGGCUAAGGGGGGGCCAACAGCCGCGGUAAUACGUAGGUGGCAAGCGUUGUCCGGAUUUAUUGGGCGUAAAGCGAGUGCAGGCGGUUCAAUAAGUCUGAUGUGAAAGCCUUCGGCUCAACCGGAGAAUUGCAUCAGAAACUGUUGAACUUGAGUGCAGAAGAGGAGAGUGGAACUCCAUGUGUAGCGGUGGAAUGCGUAG